GACGAACGCUGGCGGCGUGGAUUAGGCAUGCAAGUCGAACGGUAUCAUCCUUUCGGGGGUGAGAGAGUGGCGAACUGGUGAGUAACACGUAGGUUAUCUACCCUCAAGACGGGGACAACCCAGGGAAACUUGGGCUAAUACCGGAUGUGAGCAACUUUUAGUUGUUUGAAAGGUGGCGUAAGCUGUCGCUUGGGGAUGAGCCUGCGUCCUAUUAGUUAGUUGGUGAGGUAACGGCUCACCUAGGCAAUGAUAGGUAGGCGGCCUUAACGGGUGGUCGCCCACACUGGGAUUGAGAUACGGCCCAGACUCCUACGGGAGGCAGCAGUCGAGAAUAGUCUACAAUGGUCGGAAGACUGAUAGUGCGACGCCGCGUGAACGAUGAAUCCCUUCGGGGUGUAAAGUUCUUUUAUAUGUGAGCAGUGCUUCUUAUAUUAACAGUAUGGGGAGAGAGAUAUUAGCAUAUGAAUAAGCAACGGCUAACUCCGUGCCAGCAGCCGCGGUAAGA
rnacentral:rRNA from 1 species